AGUUGGAAACGACUGUUAAUACCGCAUAAUAUCUGUGGAUUAAAGGUGGCUUAGGCUGCCGCAGAUGGAUGAGCCUGCGUUGGAUUAGCUAGUUGGUGGGGUAAGGGCCUACCAAGGCUACGAUCCAUAGCUGAUUUGAGAGGAUGAUCAGCCACAUUGGGACUGAGACACGGCCCAAACUCCUACGGGAGGCAGCAGUGGGGAAUAUUGGACAAUGGGGGAAACCCUGAUCCAGCAAUGCCAUGUGUGUGAAGAAGGCUCUAGGGUUGUAAAGCACUUUAGUUGGGGAGGAAAGCCUAUAAGUUAAUAGCUUGUAGGAAGGACGUUACCCAAAGAAUAAGGACCGGCUAACUCCGUGCCAGCAGCCGCGGUAAUACGGGGGGUCCGAGCGUUAAUCGGAAUUACUGGGCGUAAAGGGUCUGUAGGUGGUUUGUUAAGUCAGAUGUGAAAGCCCAGGGCUCAACCUUGGAACUGCAUUUGAUACUGGCAAACUAGAGUAUGGUAGAGGAAUGGGGAAUUUCUGGUGUAGCGGUGAAAUGCGUAGAGAUCAGAAGGAACACCAAUGGCGAAGGCAACAUUCUGGACCAAUACUGACACUGAGGGACGAAAGCGUGGGGAUCAAACAGGAUUAGAUACCCUGGUAGUCCACGCUGUAAACGAUGAGUACUAGCUGUUGGAUUCGGUGUAAAGGAUCUAGUGGCGCAGCUAACGCAUUAAGUACUCCGCCUGGGGACUACGGCCGCAAGGCUAAAACUCAAAGGAAUUGACGGGGACCCGCACAAGCGGUGGAGCAUGUGGUUUAAUUCGAUGCAACGCGAAGAACCUUACCUGGUCUUGACAUCCUGCGAACUUUCUAGAGAUAGACUGGUGCCUUCGGGAACGCAGUGACAGGUGCCGCACGGCUGUCGUCAGCUCGUGUUGUGAAAUGUUGGGUUAAGUCCCGCAACGAGCGCAACCCCUAUUGAUAGUUACCAUCAUUAAGUUGGGUACUCUAUUGAGACUGCCGCUGACAAGGCGGAGGAAGGUGGGGACGACGUCAAGUCAUCAUGGCCCUUACGACCAGGGCUACACACGUGCUACAAUGGGUAUUACAGAGGGCUGCGAAGGUGCGAGCUGGAGCGAA
rnacentral:rRNA from 1 species